GCAUAGAACGCAGUGAAGGACUAUGGCAGGGCAGAGCUUCGCUACGCCGUUCCACGGGCACGUGGGCCGCGGCGCCUUCAGCGACGUGUACGAGCCCGCGGAGGACACGUUUCUGCUUUUGGACGCGCUCGAGGCAGCGGCUGCCGAGCUGGCAGGAGUGGAAAUAUGCCUGGAAGUAGGGUCAGGGUCUGGUGUAGUAUCUGCAUUCCUAGCCUCUAUGAUAGGCCCUCAGGCUUUGUACAUGUGUACCGAUAUCAACCCUGAGGCAGCAGCUUGUACCCUAGAGACAGCACGCUGUAACAAAGUUCACAUUCAACCAGUUAUUACAGAUUUGGUCAAAGGCUUGCUACCAAGAUUGACGGAAAAAGUUGAUCUUCUGGUGUUUAAUCCCCCCUAUGUAGUGACUCCACCUCAAGAGGUAGGAAGUCACGGAAUAGAGGCAGCUUGGGCUGGUGGCAGAAAUGGUCGGGAAGUCAUGGACAGGUUUUUUCCCCUGGUUCCAGAUCUCCUUUCACCAAGAGGAUUAUUCUAUUUAGUUACCAUUAAAGAAAACAACCCAGAAGAAAUCUUGAAAAUAAUGAAGACAAAAGGUUUGCAAGGAACCACUGCACUUUCCAGACAAGCAGGCCAAGAAACUCUUUCAGUCCUCAAGUUCACCAAGUCUUAGCAUACAGGGUGUGCCCAGAACUACUGGAAACUGAAUGCAUUUAGCAUAUUUUGAAACUGAAGUCAUUCAUUAGAUGGAUUUACAUCACUGGCUCCCCUGGUUCUCAAGCCUUUGGAUUCAGACUGAAUUAUACCACAGGACUUCCUGGGUCUCCAGCUUAUAGAUGACAGAUCAUGGGACCUCUUAGCCUCCAUAAUCAUGAGGUAUUACUGAAGUAAACUUCCAGUAUCCAGAUCCAAAGCGGUGGACAGUGAAAAUAAGCGGAACUAAGUUGGGGCCUGGCUGUGUUGCUUAGGCUGUGUGAAACACCUGGUAUUAAGCGAUCCUCUCACCCUGGCCUCCCAAAGCAUUGGGAUUACAGGGCUCUGUAGAGAACUGCCCCUUGCCCAACUCUCUGAGCCCCGUCAUGAUGGGAACAGGCCAAGAGACUGUGAAGGAGAAAAGAAUGGGAACUGUGAGGAAAAGAAUGACAUGAACAAUGGGAAGACCAAGGUCCCAGCACAAGUAGUAGAUGCUGAGGAAAGAAGAAGUAUGUUGUGGAGUAAGUGAGUGGGCCUGAGUUGAGAAGAUCCUGGCCUUGGAUUUUUAAACUGUCAAGUGACUAUGGUUGUGCUGGUCUCUGCUUUUCAUUAUGGAUGUAUGUGAGCUUUACUUUCUAUUAAGGUAAGUGGCUCCACUCAACACUGUGCCAGGGUUUCUUAAUUUUCAAAGGUGAACAAAUGAGAUUCUGGACAUUAAAUCUCAACAUCUUAAGGUAAUGGUUCACAGAAAUUAAUUUGGGAGGAAUCAUAGACCAAAAAGCUAGGGCUGGGCGCAGUGGCUCACGCCUGUAAUCCCAGCACUUUGGGAAGCUGAGGCGGGCAGAUCACUUGAGGUCAGGAGUUCGAGACCAGCCUGGCUAACAUGGUGAAACCCUAUCUUUACUAAAAAUAUGAAAAUUAACCAGGCGUGGUGGCAGGCGCCUCCCAUCUCAGCUACUCGAGAGGUGGAGACAGGGGAGUUGCUUGAACCCGGGAGGUGGAGGUUGCAGUGAACCGAGAUUGCACCUUUGUACUCCAGCCUGGGUGACACGAGUGGGACUCCAUCUCAAAAAACAAAACAAAACAAACCCAGAAAGGUAAAAGCUAAACCUACAGAGCUUCUGGGAAAAAACAUUAGAGUGCAUCUUCAUAAUCAUGGCACAACGAUUUCUUAAAUGGGAUUAAUAAAGAGAAACCAUAAAAAAUUAUAAAUUGAAUUUUAUAAAAAUGAAAAUUCUAUUUAUCAAAGACAUCAUUAAGAAAAUGGGGAUAAGACAUAUAGAGAAAAAUAUUAAAAAUACAUAUAUCUGGCAAAUAACUUGUAUUAAGAAUAUUUUAAAAAUUCCAAAUCUCAAUAAUAAAAGACAAACCUAAUUUAAAAUAGGGAAAAAAACUGAAAGAGAUACUUCACAAGAGAAAUUUAUGAAUGGCCAAUAAACUCAUGGAAAGGAAGUCAAUAUCAUUAGUAUUCAAGGAAAUGUAUUUUCCUGAAGACUGCAACGAGAUAGCACUUAACCCCAAGAAAGGCUGAAAUUAAAAGGGCUGACAGUACUAUUGACAGAGUCAUGGAGCAACUGGAACUCAUAUAUGCUGGUUGGGGAAUAAAAUGGUACAAACACUUGGGGCAAUUGUUUGGCAGUUUCUUAUAACAUUAAACAUAUAUUUACAAUAUGACCCAGAGAUUCUUUUCCUAUGUACUUAUAUUAGAGCAAUGAAAACAUAUACUCAUAAAAAAUUUAUCCAAGAAUGCUCAUUACAAUUUUGUUCAUGAUAACCCCAAACGGAAAAAAAUCCAAAUAUGGAUCAACUGGUGAAUAAUUAAACAAUGUGUGGUGUGAUCAUACAAAGGGUACCACUCAAUGAUAAAAGGAACAAGCUGCCUAUAUGUGGAACAACAUGGAUGCAUUUCAGAAACUUUAUGUUGAGUGUAAGAACAAACACGGAGAACAUACUAUGUGGUUCUCUUUAUGUAACAUUACAGAAAUAAAAACAGAGGCAACCACCUCUGAGGCAGUAUGGAGUGAGAUAGACUGGAAAAAGGAAGGAAGGAAACUCUACAUUGAUGGAAAUGUCUGUGUCUUCAUUGGGUGGUAGUUAUGUGGGGAUAUACAUUUGUCAAAAUUUAUUGAACUAUAUACUAGAGAACUCUGCAUUUUAUUGGAUGUAAAUAAUACCUCAAUUAAAAAGACAAAAAAAAAUCCACAGUGAUUGUGAUGGUUAAUUUUACGUAUCAACUUCACUGGGCCACAGGAUGCCCAGAUAGCUGGUCAAGCAGUAUUUCUGGUGUAUCUGUAAAAGUCUUUUUGAAACUGAGUAGUAUUUGAAUUGGUAGACUGGGUAAAAGCAGAGUGAAACAGAGCCAUCUGCCUUAAUCAGUCCACCACUGGCAUCAACCAACUGGUCAAGGGCCUAAAUGGAACAAAGAGGAGGAAGAAGGUUAAAUUCGCUCUCCACCUGACUGCUUGAACUGGGCCAUUGGUUUUCUCCUGCUCUCUGCUCAACUCUUAGGCCUUCAGAUUACACCGCUGGCUUUUGUGGGUCUCCAGCUUGUUGAAUGCAGAUCGUGGUGGUUCUCUGCCUUCAUAAUCGUGUGAGCCCAUACCUUAUAAUACCUUAUAAUAAAUCUCAUUAUAUCUAUUGAUACUUAUUUUGUACUCUGGCUUCACCUAAUCUUAUCCAGGUUUCUUAAGCUCAGUGCUCUAUGACCAUGUGGAUAAAAAUAUACAUGUAAAAGUGCUUGGUAGAAGCCCAAGUGUUAAGUAAGUACUCAGUAAAUAUCAAUUAUUUUCUCUUUCUCUUUGUGUUACUGUCCUGAAAAAUGACUAGUUAACUAGCUUGAAGAAUUGUCCAGAUCAAAGAACACAGGGUUGAUAUCAGGCACAUAGAAUCAACCCAAUAAUAACUAAAAAGAGAGAGUCUUAAAAGAAAAUUAGAAUUUUUUUAAUGAGCUUUGUGCUUAAAACUUAUGUUGCAUCAUUUUCAAAUAUUUUUUCUGGUUAAUUACUGGAUUUUAAAUUAAUUAAAAUCUUUUAAAAGAUCUGCUCAAAAGUAUUUCUUCUACAAGAACUACUUUAAGCAACAUUUUUUCCCUUAGGAUAUUCUUCCCAAGAAUAAAUCUCUGCCCUGUAUUCUGUAGAAGACAUUUUAAGUAUAGUUUUAGUAAUUUAAAACAUUCACAGCUUGUCAAGGAACGCUGAGCUAGGCAGAUCAGUUUAUUAAGAUAACUGAAGUGAAACAAAAAUGAAGAAAAUACAUGGUUUUGUAACACUGAAUUAAUAUUAAUGUGAUCAUGAAAUGAUGAUCACAUUAUUCACAGCUUAAACACUCAAUUCAAAUAUUUCUCAUAUCUGUAGUAAGAAUUUCCAAGAGAUAUAAAAGAGAAAUCUUGUUCUACAAAGAUUCCGAUAGCA